UACGGAGGGAGCUAGCGUUGUUCGGAAUUACUGGGCGUAAAGCGCGCGUAGGCGGCUUUGUAAAUUAGAGGUGAAAGCCCGGAGCUCAACUCCGGAACUGCCUUUAAAACUGCAUCGCUUGAAUCCAGGAGAGGUGAGUGGAAUUCCGAGUGUAGAGGUGAAAUUCGUAGAUAUUCGGAAGAACACCAGUGGCGAAGGCGGCUCACUGGACUGGUAUUGACGCUGAGGUGCGAAAGCGUGGGGAGCAAACAGG
rnacentral:rRNA from 1 species